rnacentral:rRNA from 1 species
UAUUCUACAAUUUAUAUAACUUUAAAUUAUAAAUAUAAGAAAUUACAUAAAUACUAUUAAAUAUAGCAAUAGAAAUAAAUAUAAUAAUAAAAAGUAAAUAUAU